UGAUGAUGAUGAUGAUGAUGAUGAUGACGAAGAUGAUGAUGAUGAUGACGAUGAAGAUGAUGAUGAUCAUCAUCAUCUUCAUCGUCAUCAUCAUCAUUGUCA
rnacentral:pre_miRNA from 1 species